rnacentral:lncRNA from 1 species
GUGCAAAAAAAAAUUACGCUGCAAUUUCAAGCUUUCAUAUUAAGAAAACGAUAAGAGUUUGCUGCAUACUUACAGCGUAUAAAAUGUUCCUCUCGACGAGCUCUACAUUUUAUACUCUGACCUCAAAAGAGUCCGACUGUCUGUUCAAAAGUUACGACGGGAUGAUUCUUAAAAGUAUAGUAUUGUGUGUAUAUCUUUUUAAAGGUAACAGAUAUCAACCUACUAUAAACUGCAAAGAUGAUCAGUAGUUCAAAACCUUCAAUUUGAGGUCAAUGUCAGGUCAUGAUGAAAUUUCACCUUGACCUUCAUAUUUUACUAUGACCUUGACCUUGUAAUAUUUGAAAGGUCAAGUGGUCCUGAGUUGAAUGGUGAUAGUCCCAUGUCUCUUCGACUUUCGGUUCUCAAGUUGUGUAUUGCAUCAUAUAUUUGAUGAUUAAUUGUGACCUUGGUGAACUUUGAAAUUGUCCCAAUUCUUUUUCUAUAAUGUUGUCCUUCAACUGUAGAUCAUUUAUCAUUUAACAGAUUUGAGAUAUCUAUUGUCGUUUUAGAGAUAAUGCAGUUUGAAGUUUUUCGAGCGGAGGCAUGUAUUUCUGAAUCAUCAAGAGCUUACCACUUGAAAUGUUUUAGAAAUUGAAGAGGUUGACAUAGUUAUAUGUUUGACCAAAUACCAAAAACAUUCCAUGGAAAAAAACACCAAAAAAAUCAAUUUGAAAUUUUCAAGUUUUGCAUUGACUUUGUAAGUUUCAUAACUUCUAUUUAUAUAAUUGAUAUUGCAUCAUUAUUAUUGCACUUUGUCAAAUGGGGUCAUCUGAUAUAUCAAAUUGAAGGUCUUAAUAAACUCUACUUAAAAAUGAAAAUUGUAAACCCCCUUUUUAUCCCAGGGGGACGGGUGGGGUCAUUUAGUGCAAACAUUCAAAUUUCUCAGAUGGUAAGGUUGUCGCAUAUCAAAUGAAAGAACAUAAAGCGUACAUUUCAAAUUUCAAAUUGACGUCUCCAAAAAAUGGGUUGGAUGGGGUCAUUGAGUGCAAAAAAUAAAUGUUCUUUUAAGGUAGGGUUGUUGUAUAUCAAAUGAAAGGUCAUGAUGUGUACAUUUGAAAUAUCAAAUUCCCGACCUCCAAAAAUUUGUUGGAUAGGGUUAUUAAGUGCAAAAAUCAAACUUUCAAGAACAUGGUGUUGUCGCAUAUCAAACGAAAGCUCAUCUACUCUGUUCCAUAUAUCAUAAUUCCGAUCUCAAAAAUGUAGACGGAUGAGGUCAUUAAGUGUAAAAAGCGAUAAGUUUCAGAAGGUGUGCUUGUCGUAUAUCAAACGAAAGGUCGUACAAAGUACAAUACGAAAACAUCACUUUUACAGGAAAGACCUUUCAAUUGUUUUACAAACAAUUGAGAUACUAGUUGUAUCUUAAGUU